rnacentral:lncRNA from 1 species
AAAACCUGUUUCCAGCGAGGAGCUCAGGCCCGGGCACAAGGUGAGACCCAGCAACCUAGGCUGGCCCGAGAGCAAGGUUGGCCCGAGCUCCAGCCCUCGUUUUGGUGUUGACGUCAUCGUUACAGUGCCACAGUGCUACAGUGACGCUACAGUGCCAUGUGCUACAGUACCGCUAAAAGUCCACGUGUCGCACUCUGGG